rnacentral:lncRNA from 10 species
GGGCUCCCGAGUGUGGGGAGGGCGGCUCAGCAGGAGCUGCUGCUUCCCAGAAAGUUGAUUAUUUUUAACCCAGGAAGAAGAAAGGAAGGAGGCGAGGGAGAAGGACUCAGAGAAAAGAGGAGAGGAAAAGAGAGGAGAGGAGAGGAAAGAAACGGAGUCUCACUCUGUCACCAGGCUGGAGUACAGUGGUGUGAUCUCGGCUCACUGCAACCUCCGCCUCCCAGGUUCAAGCGAUUCUCCUGCCUCAGCCUCUCAAGUAGCUGAGAUUACAGACGUGUGUCACCAUGCCCUGUUAAUUUUUGUUUGUUUGUUUUGUUUUUUGUUUUGUUUUGUUUCGUUUUUUGUUUUUUUUUUUUGAGACGGAGUCUUGCUCUGUCGCCCAGGCUGGAGUGCAGUGGCCCCGAUCUCGGCUCACCGCAAGCUCCGCCUCGCGGGUUCAUGCCAUUCUCCGGCCUCAGCCUCCCGAGUAGCUGGGACUACAGGCAUCCGCCACCACACCCAGCUAAUUUUUUGUAUUUUUUUUAGUAGAGACGGGGUUUCACUGUGUUAGCCAGGAUGGUCUCGAUCCCCUGACCUUGUGAUCCACCCAAGGCCUCGGCCUCCCAAAGUGCU